ACAACAACAAUAAAAACCAAAACACAUAACAAAAAUAACAUUCGACUCCACACACAAUAAAAACAAGACGUGAGAGACGCAGCAAACUGAUUUUUUUGGAGAAUAGCAGUCAGAUCGUGAGCAGGAUGCUCAGUUGGAUGAAGAAGAAUAAAAGUUGCCCAAGCAACCCGCCAUCCAGAGCCAUACGCAGGCCGAGCUGAACCUACGCUUCCAAAGCAAUCCGUUUGGUUUAGACAACCCGAGAUGGGUCAGUCGGCAAGCGGCACUUGCCGCUUUGAACAAAAAAAGAAUAGCUCUCAUAACAACAAUAAUAAAAAACCAUUAGGGGGAGUGUCCUACUCCCCUUGAGCUUUCCUUC
rnacentral:sRNA from 1 species